UGCCCCUGGCAAUGGGCAAAGAGCCACCUUGGUGGUGGUGUUCUUAUGUCAGUCAGGGACAGAGCAGAUGGCAGUCCUUUAUUCAUCUAGCUUGAUGCCUGGCUUGGUGGCCAAAGCUGCCUUAUGCCUAGGACUCAUAA